rnacentral:rRNA from 1 species
ACGGGGGGGGCAGGCGUUGUUCGGAAUUACUGGGCGUAAAGGGCUCGUAGGCGGCCAACUAAGUCGGAUGUGAAAUCCCCAGGCUUAACCUGGGAACUGCAUCCGAUACUGGAUGGCUUGAAUUCGGGAGAGGGAUGCAGAAUUCCAGGUGUAGCGGUGAAAUGCGUAGAUAUCUGGAGGAAUACCGGUGGCGAAGGCGGCAUCCUGGACCGGCAUUGACGCUAAUGAGCGAAAGCUAGGGGAGCAAACGGGA